rnacentral:rRNA from 3 species
AGACCCGAAACCCGGUGAUCUAGCCAUGGGCAGGUUGAAGGUUGGGUAACACUAACUGGAGGACCGAACCGACUAAUGUUGAAAAAUUAGCGGAUGACCUGUGGCUGGGGGUGAAAGGCCAAUCAAACCGGGAGAUAGCUGGUUCUCCCCGAAAGCUAUUUAGGUAGCGCCUCGUGAAUUCAUCUCCGGGGGUAGAGCACUGUUUCGGCUAGGGGGCCAUCCCGGCUUACCAACCCGAUGCAAACUGCGAAUACCGGAGAAUGUUAUCACGGGAGACACACGGCGGGUGCUAACGUCCGUCGUGAAGAGGGAAACAACCCAGACCGCCAGCUAAGGUCCCAAAGUCAUGGUUAAGUGGGAAACGAUGUGGGAAGGCCCAGACAGCCAGGAUGUUGGCUUAGAAGCAGCCAUCAUUUAAAGAAAGCGUAAUAGCUCACUGGUCGAGUCGGCCUGCGCGGAAGAUGUAACGGGGCUAAACCAUGCACCGAAGCUGCGGCAGCGAACGUAUCACCCAAGACAACUUUACGGAGUUGACGAUUGACGGAGCGAAGCGACGUCAAAGCGUUCAUUAAAGUCGAGUUGGCUUAGGGAUACGUUCGUUGGGUAGGGGAGCGUUCUGUAAGCCUGUGAAGGUGUGUCGUGAGGCAUGCUGGAGGUAUCAGAAGUGCGAAUGCUGACAUAAGUAACGAUAAAGCGGGUGAAAAGCCCGCUCGCCGGAAGACCAAGGGUUCCUGUCCAACGUUAAUCGGGGCAGGGUGAGUCGACCCCUAAGGCGAGGCCGAAAGGCGUAGUCGAUGGGAAACGGGUUAAUAUUCCCGUACUUGGUGUUACUGCGAAGGGGGGACGGAGAAGGCUAUGUUGGCCGGGCGACGGUUGUCCCGGUUUAAGCGUGUAGGUGUGUGUUCCAGGUAAAUCCGGUUCACUUUAACACUGAGGCGUGACGACGAGGCACUACGGUGCUGAAGCAACAAAUGCCCUGCUUCCAGGAAAAGCCUCUAAGCAUCAGGUAACACGAAAUCGUACCCCAAACCGACACAGGUGGUCAGGUAGAGAAUACCAAGGCGCUUGAGAGAACUCGGGUGAAGGAACUAGGCAAAAUGGUGCCGUAACUUCGGGAGAAGGCACGCUGACACGUAGGUGAAGUGAUUUACUCAUGGAGCUGAAGU